rnacentral:rRNA from 1 species
UACGUAGGUGACAAGCGUUGUCCGGAUUUACUGGGCGUAAAGAGCGCGCAGGCGGUCGAUCAAGUCGAGUGUGAAAGCCCCCGGCUCAACUGGGGAGGGUCAUUCGAUACUGAUCGACUCGAAGGCAGGAGAGGGAUGUGGAAUUCCAGGUGUAGCGGUGAAAUGCGUAGAUAUCUGGAGGAACACCGGUGGCGAAGGCGACAUCCUGGACCGGUAUUGACGCUGAGGCGCGAAAGCCAGGGGAGCAAACGGG